CUCACCUACGAACACAGUUCCCAUUCAUGUGGUGUGAGACCAAACUGAAAUACUUAGGUAUCUGGUUAACUGCGGACCUCACCCAGCUAUAUACCCACAAUUUCGCUCCGCUCCUACGGACGCUAAAAAGGGAUAUGCUACAGUGGUCUGGCCUAUGUGUCUCAUGGUUUGGCAGAAUGAACGCCAUUAAGAUAAAUCUCCUCCCUCGACUACUUUACCUCUUCCAAACAAUACCAAUUUGCCUGCCCACGUCCUUCUUCCAACAACUGGAUGCCGACAUUUCACGGUUUAUCUGGCGAAACCAAUCAUCUCGAAUCAGGAAAACACUGCUCCAUAGGCCGAAGGCACAGG